CCUACGGGAGGCAGCAGUGGGGAAUCUUGCGCAAUGGGCGAAAGCCUGACGCAGCAACGCCGCGUGCGGGAAGAAGGCUUUCGGGCUGUAAACCGCUUUCAGCAGGAACGAAAAUGACGGUACCUGCAGAAGAAGGAGCGGCCAACUAUGUGCCAGCAGCCGCGGUGAUACAUAGGCUUCAAGCGUUGUCCGGAUUUAUUGGGCGUAAAGAGUUCGUAGGCGGUCAAGUAAGUCGGGUGUGAAAAUUAUGGGCUCAACCCAGAGACGCCACCCGAUACUGCUUAACUUGAGUUCGAUAGGGGAGUGGGGAAUUCCUAGUGUAGCGGUGAAAUGCGCAGAUAUUAGGAGGAACACCGGUGGCGAAGGCGCCACUCUGGAUCGAUACUGACGCUGAGGAACGAAAGCAUGGGUAGCAAACAGGAUUAGAUACCCUGGUAGUCCAUGCCGUAAACGGUGGGCACUAGGUGUGGGUUUCUAUUAACGAAAUCCGCGCCGUCGCUAACGCAUUAAGUGCCCCGCCUGGGGGAGGUACGGUCGCGAGAACGUAAACUACAAAUAGAAGUUAAGUACGGCGUUGAGUACGUUGCCGAACGGACGACGACGAGGGAGGAGG
rnacentral:rRNA from 1 species